CGUUAGCGGCGGACGGGUGAGUAACACGUGGGUAACCUACCUAUAAGACUGGGAUAACCUCGGGAAACCGGAGCUAAUACCGGAUAAUAUUUCGAACCGCAUGGUUCGAUAGUGAAAGAUGGUUUUGCUAUCACUUAUAGAUGGACCUGCGCCGUAUUAGCUAGUUGGUAAGGUAACGGCUUACCAAGGCGACGAUACGUAGCCGACCUGAGAGGGUGAUCGGCCACACUGGAACUGAGACACGGUCCAGACUCCUACGGGAGGCAGCAGGC
rnacentral:rRNA from 1 species